rnacentral:rRNA from 1 species
UACGGGGGGGGCAAGCGUUGUUCGGAAUUACUGGGCGUAAAGGGCUCGUAGGCGGCCAACUAAGUCAGACGUGAAAUCCCUCGGCUUAACCCGGGAACUGCGUCCGAUACUGGGAGGCUUGAAUCCGGGAGAGGGAUGUGGAAUUCCAGGUGUAGCGGUGAAAUGCGUAGAUAUCUGGAGGAACACCGGUGGCGAAGGCGGCAUCCUGGACCGGUAUUGACGCUGAGGCGCGAAAGCCAGGGGAGCAAACGGG